rnacentral:rRNA from 1 species
CAGCCGCCACGGUAAUACGUAGGUCCCGAGCGUUGUCCGGAUUUAUUGGGCGUAAAGCGAGCGCAGGCGGUUAGAUAAGUCUGAAGUUAAAGGCUGUGGCUUAACCAUCGUACGCUUUGGAAACUGUUUAACUUGAGUGCAGUAGGGGAGAGUGGAAUUCCAUGUGUAGCGGUGAAAUGCGUAGAUAUAUGGAGGAACACCGGUGGCGAAAGCGGCUCUCUGGUCUGUAACUGACGCUGAGGCUCGAAAGCGUGGGGAGCAAACAGGAUUAGAUACCCCCGUAGUCCCUGUCUCUUAUACA